UACGGAGGUGGCAAGCGUUGUUCGGAAUUACUGGGCGUAAAGGGCGCGUAGGCGGGGAGGCAAGUCGGGUGUGAAAUCCCUCGGCCCAACCGAGGAACUGCGCCCGAGACUGCUUCUCUUGAGUCCCGGAGAGGAAGGUGGAAUUCCCGGUGUAGCGGUGAAAUGUGUAGAGAUCGGGAGGAACACCGGUGGCGAAGGCGGCCUUCUGGACGGUGACUGACGCUGAGGCGCGAAAGCGUGGGGAGCAAACGGG
rnacentral:rRNA from 1 species